UACAGAGGGGGCAAGCGUUGUUCGGAAUUACUGGGCGUAAAGGGCGCGUAGGCGGCCUGCUAAGUCGAACGUGAAAUCCCCGAGCUCAACCCGGGAACUGCGUCCGAUACUGGCGGGCUUGAAUUCGGGAGAGGGAUGUGGAAUUCCAGGUGUAGCGGUGAAAUGCGUAGAUAUCAGGAGGAACACCAGUGGCGAAGGCGCCACUCUGGGCCGUAACUGACGCUGAGGAGCGAAAGCGUGGGUAGCAAACAGG
rnacentral:rRNA from 1 species